UUCUCAAAGCUUUUAUGGUGUAGCCAAAGUCCGUAUGAGUCUUUGGCUUUGUAUCUUCUAACAAGGAAACAUUACUUAGGCUUUUAAGAUCAUGUUGCGGUUUUAGUUCUUAUACUCAAUCAUACACAUGACAUCAAGUCAUAUUCGACUCCAAAACAGUAACCAACCUUCUUCUUGCUUCUCAAAGCUUUCAUGGUGUAGCCAAAGUCCGUAUGAGUCUUUGGCUUUGUUGUUCUAAGAAGGAUAAAAUUCUUACGCCUUUAAGAUCUGGUUGCGGUUUAAGUUCUUAUACUCAAUCAUACAAAUGACAUCAAGUCAUAUUCGACUCCAAAACACUAACCAACCUUCUUCUUGCUUAUCAAAGCUUUCAUGGUGUAGCCAAAGUCUGUAUGAGUCUUUGGCUUUGUGUCUUCUAACAAGGAUACAAUUUUUACGCCUAUAAGAUCCGGUUGCGGUUUAAGUUCUUAUACUCAAUCAUACACAUGACAUCAAGUCAUAUUCGACUCCAAAACGCUAACCAAACUUCUUCUAGCUUCUCAAAGUUUUCAUGGUGUAGCCAAAGUCCGUAUGAUUCUUUGGAUUUGUAUCUUCUAACAAGGAAACACUUCUUAGGCUUAUAAGAUCGGGUUGCGGUUUAAGUUCUUAUACUCAAUCAGACACAUGACAUCAAGUCAUAUUCGACUCGAAAACACUAACCAACCUUCUUCUUGCGUCUAGAAGAUUUCAUGGUGUAGCCAAAGUCCGUAUAUGUCUUUGGCUUUGUGUCUUCUAACAAGGAAACACUACUUAGGCUUAUAAAAUCCGGUUGCGGUUUAAGUUCUUAUACUCAAUCAUACACAUGACAUCAAGUCAUAUUCGACUCCAAAACACUAACCAAGCUUCUCAAAGAUUUCAUGGUGUAGCCAAAGUCCGUAUGAGUCUUGGGCUUUGUAUCUUCUAACAAGGAAACAUUACUUAGGCUUUUAAGAUCAGGUUGCGGUUUAAGUUCUUAUACUCAAUCAUACACAUGACAUCAAGUCAUAUUCGACUCCAAAACAGUAACCAACCUUCUUCUUGCUUCUCAAAGCUUUCAUGGUGUAGCCAAAGUCCGUAUGAGUCUUUGGUUUUGUUU
rnacentral:sRNA from 1 species